GCGCCAUCUUAUGGACAAGUACUGCAGUGCAGACUUUUUUUUUUUAACCUACCGGAAGUACAGUUUUUGUUUGGUCGUCUCCCGCUAUGGAUUCUUAAAUCGUCAGAACAAGCAACGUUUGAAAAAUGACCCUAGGCUAAUGAAUGGAAAGGCGAUGGAGAAAAUGUGUAAAGCUUUGAAAAGAGGCGGAGCCGGCGAACGAGCAGCGGGGCAGGGUACGCUGGAGCCCGGCCCAAGAUGGCGGCGAGGAGGUGGAGAAUGCGGCCGAGCGGAGAGGCGAGGCGUGCCGGGAGCGACGCCGCAGUCAAAUGCAGGUGCGUGGAUCGCGCACCGGGUCACAAUUAACAUUUCUCCUCACUCUGUAUAAAAGAGGAGAAGGAGGAAAGAACGAGGCGGAAGGAGUAGGAGAGCCGGCAGCAGCGACCGAGGAGCGAGAGAGAGAGCAAGACGGCGACGACGAAAGCGACCAGAGAGCGAGCAGCAGAGGAGGAGCUGAAAAGCAACCCGACAAGAGACAGCUAUUUUGAAAAAUAAACAAGAGUCCAACCUGCAAAAGAGAUGUCCUUCCUUGAUGGUCAGUGGAACCCACACGACGACGGACCUGUUUGUCUUGGUUGACCCUACCAGGGGGCACGAAAGCCCCCGGACAACAUACAUCCUUGGAUCAUUGGGGCACGCAAACUCCUCUACCACGG